rnacentral:ncRNA from 1 species
AAUAGGUAAAAUAGCUUGAACGGAACCUUUACCAAAUGAUUUUUCACCAAUUAAAAUAGCUCUUUUAUGAUCUUGAAGUGCUCCUGAAACAAUUUCAGAUGCAGAUGCAGAACCACCAUUAAUUAGAACAACCAUAGGAAGUCUUGAAACAGUAUUUGAACUAGUUGCCUCAAAUUUUUCUUCGUCAUCUUCAUCUCUACCUUUUUGAGAUACAAUAACACCUCUAUCUACAAAAAGAUCAACUACACCAAUCGCUUGAGAAAGUAAACCACCUGGGUUAUUUCUUA